GUGGCAGCAGCCGCGGUAAUACGAAGGGUGCAAGCGUUACUCGGAAUUACUGGGCGUAAAGCGUGUGUAGGUGGUUCGUUAAGUCCGAUGUGAAAGCCCUGGGCUCAACCUGGGAAUGGCAUUGGAUACUGGCGGGCUAGAGUGCGGUAGAGGAUAGUGGAAUUCCUGGUGUAGCAGUGAAAUGCGUAGAGAUCAGGAGGAACAUCCGUGGCGAAGGCGACUGUCUGGACCAGCACUGACACUGAGGCACGAAAGCGUGGGGAGCAAACAGGAUUAGAUACCCCAGUAGUC
rnacentral:rRNA from 1 species